UCAUGUGUGAGGAUCACGACGAAAGGAAAAUAACGUUCGUUGAGGGUUGAGUUCUUCAAAUACAAAAAUCUGGUGAGUUAACUCUUUGUUUUUCUGUUUUAGUUUUUGGUUACAAAGUGUUUGUUUCACUAAUUCUUUAACGUAUCUUCACAUAUGGAUUGUUUAUAUAAAUAGUGUUAUUAGGUGUUGUUUUCUAAAAAUAAAGCUUACAAUUGAAGACACAAAAAUGCAGGUCAAUUCAUUCAAACAAAAACUACAAUAGGAACUGCCCAUUACAAAUCAUGAAUACUAAAAUAAUUAAUUCCUAAAACAAUAGGAACCAACUUAUAACAUAAUCAAACUAACAAGAAAACAAUCCUAAAGCAUUUUAUUAAUACUAGACAUGAUAAACUCUUUAAUCUAUUACUUAAACGUGUUUGUUGGGUUGGGUUAAGUUGAGUUGAAGUACAUUUUUAGACUCAACUUGAAUGUUUGGGUUGUAAGCUAAGCUUUUUUAACCCAAAUAACUCUCGCUAGAAAAUGAACCAAACACAACCCAACCAUGAAACAUUUGGGUUAGGUUGGUUUAGUUCAUUUGGAUCAUUUAUCUUUUUUCUUUCUUUUUAGAAUAAAGAGAAAGUAAAAUAUUAAUACGUAGAAAUUGGAUUUAAUUAUUUUUAUAUAUUUAAAUUAAACUCAAUUUCAUUUUAUAUAAUUCAUAUUUUUUUCCAAAUUGCUAAAAUCUAUUUUUAGAAGUUAUCGGAGAAUAAACUACAGAUAAAUAAGAAAAUUAAAUCAAACAAAAAUAAAAAUGUGUAUAUAUAAUAGAAUCUUGAGUAUAAAAUCUAGGUAAAUUGCAUAUGAUAGAAUUUUGAUAAUAUGAUAUAGUAAUUACACCACAUUGUUUUAGAAUUUUGUAAAUUUGGUAAAAUGUAUAAGUAGGACUUCAAGCAUAUCAAGUGUAUUUAAUCAAUCAAUUUUAUAAGUGAAGAAUACUAAAUGUAUCUGCAGUGUAUCAAACAUAUAUUAGUAAUGUUUCAGGUGUGUAUCAAAAUGUAUCGAGUGUAUCAAAGAGUAUUAUAUCAGGUGUAUUAGGUGUACAAAACGUGUAUAAGGUGUACGAGACGUAUAUUAGUAACGAGGACAUUAGUGACAUUUUACGGUUUGAUAUGUGGGCUAGACUUCGUUUUUGUCAUUUUUGCAAAUAAUAAAAUGUGUGUACUAUGGAUUUAAUUAUUAUAACUUAUUUUGUCAUUUUUGCGAGUGUCCCUAGUUAUUAAACAACAUAGUAUUAUAUACAAAUCAACCAAAUGAGUCUUCUAUUGCACUUUGAAACAAAUACACAAGUCCAAGUUUAAUUUAAAAAACAACAACUAAUAGCUUAUUACAUACAUAGAUUAUAUAUGAUCCUUAAAACUAAACAUAAACUGUACAAGUUUGGAUUUGACAUAAUAAUUAGAAGGUUCUAUAUUGUUAGCAGAUUAAGGUCAGUAAACUUAAAUAUGUUUAAAUUAUAAUAAUGUGCUGUUACGCCCUUAAAGAACAGGGCAUCCCUUGGCCACAACCCCAGGUGCUGUAGGGCACUUAGCCAAAGUACAAUGAUCAUCAGCUCCUAAACCCCACCAAUCAGGUCCAAAAAUAUCCUUCGAUUGUAGUGUAAAAUAUAUAACAAUCCCCAUAAAUGCAACCCCAGCAUCUAAUGCUGCUGAUAAGAUAUAGUUAUGUCUUGCCCACCAUCCUUUGUAUUUCUUGUACACAUAGAAAUUGAAGAAUAUUCCAACUAUUCCCCAUGUUAUGUAGUUCACUGCUCUUGCUGGUGGCAUUCCUCCUGUUGCUCCUAUUAUGAUUGGCAUGUUUAUGAGUUUAAUCCAUUUCUUUUCUGGGAAUUUGAGAGAGAGUAACCAAAUUGGUAACGGGGCCAGUAAUCCGAUCAGGAAGAACCAGUUCAUUUGUCCGUAGACGCCGUAUUUCGUGAACAUUCGUAAUGGUCCUACUACACCCCAUAUUAUUGAUGCAUUGUAGAAUACGUCGUCGCCUGGACAUGUCCAUGGACUUCCUUCUGGUAAUACGUUUGUGUCGCAAAUGUUUGGUAUGGUUGUUAGAAGCCACCAUGCCGUGCCAAAGUAGACACUCGACGAUACAACCGUUCCUACAAGCUGAGAAAGUGGGUUGUGUUUAAAAUCGAAACAGUUGCAAAUAUAUAGUAGAUUGUGCUACUCAGUGCAAUUACCUUUCUUCAUACUAUUUAAAAGCAUCUUUUGAAUGGUGUUGAAAAUGACAAAAGUGAUCUUAAUCAUUUUUACCUGAACAGUGAACAUGGAUCUUGGUGGGAUCUUCAUGUAAUGUCCUAAUUUGAAAUCACCAACAAAGCUAAGAGCUUGUGCCAUGCUAAUAUAACCAUAAGUUUUGAAAGCCACAUUUGCAAGAGGCUUUCCUGGAUAAAUAUAACCUAUGAUCAACUCUGUUAUGACAUUUAAUCCUGGUUGCUGCACCAAACAUUUAAGUGAAAUAAUCAGAAUAAUUAUUUGACUAUAUGUUAUAUGUUUGUUAAUUAAUAUCAUUGUUUUAAAUUUGUUUCCGGUGAAUAUAAGGUAUAUAUAUAUUACCAUAUUUGUUGUGGCUUGAAUGAUUCCAAUAGGCAGAGUGAAGAAGAGUGCGAUUGCACAAGCAAGUAAUAUUCCCCACCAUGGUAAUUGGAGUUGUUUGUCAAAACCUUCACAAGCAUACAACGCUAGAGCAACCAUUGCAAUCAAGAUAAUGUGAAACCAC
rnacentral:lncRNA from 1 species